UGUUUGUCUCCAUCGACAAUU
rnacentral:piRNA from 1 species